rnacentral:rRNA from 1 species
GCAAGUCGAGGGGUAACAGUGAGUGCUUGCACUCAGCUGACGACCGGCGCACGGGUGCGUAACGCGUAUACAAUCUACCUUUUGCUGAGGGAUAGCCCAGAGAAAUUUGGAUUAAUACCUCAUGGUAUUAUUGAUAGGCAUCUAUUAAUAAUUAAAGGUUACGGCAAAAGAUGAGUAUGCGUCCCAUUAGCUAGUUGGUGAAGUAACGGUUCACCAAGGCAACGAUGGGUAGGGGUCCUGAGAGGGAGAUC